UGAUCGACGCAUUCCAUCAUGGUGGCACGACCCUGUUCAACUUUGUUAUAACAUCACGGUCAAACCAUUUAAUAUUCUAGCAAUUUCUUAACAGGGAUGAGAUGCUACCAUAUGCUUUACCGGCGAUGGCCAGAGCUCGGAGAAAAGAGGUGUCUUGAAGCAGUACUAUCCAGAAUUUAUUCAAUUCUAGUUGAAAUGUUGCUGUCUUUCGGUUAUUAACUGGUGCCGAGUAGGUCAGUAUUAUCAACUUAAUUAGAUAAUUUGUUAGUUGAGAGUUGGCCCUCUUCAAACUGUACUAGAAUGUGGGAGAGAUCCUCUCAUGGUUUACUACCAUGUUCUGAAAAUUUGUACUUCCGGCUUGAGGAAUCGACUCAAAACUAGUACAGAUAGUGGUACUGCCGUUGUUCCUCAUAUAAGCACAAUAGCUGACAGACUGGACAUAAUCUCAAUUGUCAUUAUAGUCAGAGAGAGAAGCUCUAAAUCUGAAUCUUUGCAAAUGGAGAAGAUGUUCUUGCUUUUUUUCUUUUUUUUUUGGGUUGCAACUUCUCUUUGCAAAGAUUCAGAUUUAGAGCAGCACAAGAAGACAGAUGUCGAUGUUGCAGGGUCUUGUUUUGCUAUUAUUUCUUCCUUUGACCCAACGAAAGGGGCUGGAAUUCGACAAAUUCGAUGCCCAUCGGCCGUGUUUCCUGGGCAUGAAUGUUGAUGGUCAUGAUGGCCUUCCGAGCAUCAUCAUCAUUUUGAGCCAUGUUCGUCCAAUUAAAAAAAGGGGAAGGAGAAUCAUGGCAUGUGUUGGCACUGAGAGGGCUGAUUAGCCUCACCUCAGAUCUCGAGUUCGCAUUUUUUGCGCACAAGAGCUCUUCGAGGAAGGAUCAAAUUGACUGCACUCCAUGUCCAUGGCAUUAGAAGCAAAAUCUCUCGAGGCUAUUUUUCCAUCUCUUUUCACGUUCGACAACAAUGUCGCAGCCGACACAAUCAUCUGGUUUUGGACCCGAAGUACUUAAGCCCUGCAUGGACUCAUCUUCCAUGGCUUUGUGAACCCAAAAGGCUAGAUGCUCUCUCCCCUCAUUUACCUCCACAUGAAUAAAAUAUUCACUGCAAAGCGGUCAAAUGGUAACCGCAUGUCUGUUGCCGACCUGUGAGAACUUCCAAGUCCUAACAGCUCCUGAUUUUCUACGAAAACGAUUUGCUCAAGUCAUUGUUAAUCAUGGGGUUAUGACAAGAACCCCGUCAGGACUUUGGACAUGAUUAGCAUUGACUGAAAGUAACGUGUGGGGAGUUCCCCGUACCCACCCGAAACCUACCGGUGAAAAUGAUAAGUCAUCAACAACGCCAUUAGAAGAAGCUUCGAACUACAGACAUUACAGAAAUCUCAAGCAAUGCUGUGAUUAUGCCUAGGUGUUGGUGAAGUCUAUUAGACAAGGGAAGAAGAUACGUGGGUUUUACGAGGAAGCUUGUGCGUACCGGCGAGAGGCCGAUGACAUUUCUCUUUCUGCAGGUUGCUUAUAGCGACUCGUCGUGCCCUUUUUUUCCAUCUGAAAAUCCUGGCGAAGUCAAUAACAAACUUCACCAACUUCUUUGUUGAUUGCUCUAUCGUUCUUGUUCACCAAUCCUAAUCCGAUCUCAUUUCCGGACAUGCUUCCACCCAAAGAGACUAAUCAUGAGGGCAGGUGCCCCGGUUUUUCAACCGCGUUUUCUCACCAUUUUCAUCUUUGGAUCAAGUCAAAAGUCAAAUUUUUGCUUUUCCAUUUCACACUAGGGGGGCACAAAUUGGGAAAUCGAACACGUUGUUUCUUUUUACCAAAAAGACAACAUUGUUAUAUAAAUGGUAAGUUUAUCCUUACUAUUACGCAAAGUAAAGAUAAUUUUUUUAUUUUUAACAAGAUUGGAAUCAUUUUCCUCUUCUUUGAAAAUUUAAUUAGUUUCAUCUCUGGUAGAAACUUCAAUCUUCUAUAUAUUAAACCACAUUCAAAAAGUCCAAAUUUUUUAUCUCGUCAUUCUCUUUUGACAUAUGCUUGUUGUAUUGUGAAUUUAGGGAUUAAUUUCUCUUCAUGAUUUUAAUGAUGCAAUUUUGUGCACAUGCACGACGUGUGUGUGCAUUUACUUGUUGUACGAACGAGAGCCAGGGUCUUCAUUAUUGCACAGACAAGCAAUCUUUUGCUUGGCUACAACAUAUCCUCUGUUCUUCAUUUUCAGAAAAAUCUCUGCUACGAAAUUGGGCUUCAUCUUUGGGCCUUUCGAAUAGAUAUACAUUCGCACUCUUUCUGAUGAUGUAAAGUUCGUUAGAAGAUUAAGAUGUAGGUAACCAAACAGCACGUAGAAAUUCUACAAUGGAUUUGCUUCUCUCUCUCUCCUCCCCCUUUUCUGCUUCUCUUUUUUUAUGUGAGAAAACUAAUACUAUUCUAUUAUACGUAGUUAUUAAUGCACAACAAUGCUCCAUAAUCCCGACACCUAGGUCAAGUAAGCAUUGCACUAACCUUUGGCUAGUCCAAGUCGGACGCUGCAAUACCGGCAACACCACUUGCGCCACCCGAUCACAAUUAGAAGAGGGGGAUGAUUCUUAUAUCAGUUGAUAUGGAUUUUAGGAGAACCACACUCUAAGAUUUAGCUAUUGACGUGGGAGAUCUCAAGAAAAGUAUGUACACGUAAUCUGCAAAUUUCUUCGUCAAUUUGAUGAGAGAUGAUCGAGGGAAAAUGAUAAUUCUUUAAAUAGAUAAUCAAAUCGCUUUUGACUUUUUCUUUGUAAUGGUUGAGAAAAGAGUUGAUAUGUUGAAGAAAAUGUUGUGGUGGUCAAUAUAGUUCUUUAUUGUAUUCUAGCUUUGCGGGCAAUGAAGAUACUCCACUUAGGUCUUAACUUACCAUGGUCAAGGGUUCUUUAACUGGCCACUUGAUUUGGUGUAACCAUUUUUACACCAUCCACCACCGUCACGCCUAAAAAAAAAAUGCAGCUAGCAUUGGUGUUAACGCUGUCUUGAGAGUAUUUAUAAUUUUAAUGACAUUGAAAAUUCCUUUAUUCGGAACGGAGAUUAUUUAGAAAGUGAUUUCUCAAUCGAUAGUCAAGACAAAACCUUGUAGAUGUAUAUAAUGUUAUUAAUUCUUGAACAUUAUUAA